rnacentral:rRNA from 1 species
UACGUAGGGGGCAAGCGUUGUCCGGAUUUAUUGGGCGUAAAGAGCUCGUAGGCGGCUUGUCGCGUCGGAUGUGAAAGCCCGGGGCUUAACUCCGGGUCUGCAUUCGAUACGGGCAGGCUAGAGUUCGGUAGGGGAGAUCGGAAUUCCUGGUGUAGCGGUGAAAUGCGCAGAUAUCAGGAGGAACACCGGUGGCGAAGGCGGAUCUCUGGGCCGAUACUGACGCUGAGGCGCGAAAGCGUGGGGAGCAAACAGG